AGAUGUGAGGACAAUCUGGCUGCAACAUCUGUCACAUCAUUGAUCAUCAGAGUUGAUCUGGCUGCCUAGGCAGGUGUCUCCUCCCUCCCUCCCUCCCCACUCCAUAUGUGAGUUCAACAAUACAUUGAGAUUUUCUGUAACUGUGUUUUCAGUGGAAGAGAACAACCAUCCCAGAUAAAGAGUUUGCUACUUUUCAAUCAAGAAUAUAUCUA
rnacentral:snRNA from 1 species